UACGAGUACCCCGAGCAUUAUCCGGAAUUAUUGGGCGUAAAGGGUGAGUAGGCGGUGCAAUUAGUCGUGUGUUAAAUCCCAGAGCUUAACUUUGGAUUCGCACACGAAACGGUUGCACUAGAGAAUGUGAGAGGUGAAUGGAACUCAUAGUGUAGGGGUGAAAUCCGUUGAUAUUAUGGGGAACACCAAAUGCGAAGGCAAUUCACUGGCACAUUUCUGACGCUCAAUCACGAAAGCGUAGGUAGCGAAUGGG
rnacentral:rRNA from 1 species